rnacentral:rRNA from 1 species
UACAGAGGUCUCAAGCGUUGUUCGGAUUCAUUGGGCGUAAAGGGUGCGUAGGCGGUCGGGUAAGUCUGACGUGAAAUCUCCAAGCUCAACUUGGAAAUGGCGUCGGAUACUAUUCGGCUCGAGGAAGGGAGGGGAGACUGGAAUUCUCGGUGUAGCAGUGAAAUGCGUAGAUAUCGAGAGGAACACCAGUGGCGAAGGCGAGUCUCUGGACAUUUCCUGACGCUGAGGCACGAAAGCCAGGGGAGCAAACGGG